GAGUUUGAUUCAUGGCUCAGGGCGAACGCUGGCGGCGUGCUUACACAUGCAAGUCGAACGAUGAAGCGGUGCUUGCACCGUGGAUUAGUGGCGAACGGGUGAGUAAUACGUGAGUGACCUACCUUUGACUCUGGGAUAAGCCUGGGAAACUGGGUCUAAUACCGGAUACGACCAAUCUCUGCAUGGGGUGUUGGUGGAAAGCGUUAUGGAGUGGUUUUAGAUGGGCUCACGGCCUAUCAGCUUGUUGGUGAGGUAAUGGCUUACCAAGGCGACGACGGGUAGCCGGCCUGAGAGGGUGACCGGCCACACUGGGACUGAGACACGGCCCAGACUCCUACGGGAGGCAGCAGUGGGGAAUAUUGCACAAUGGGCGCAAGCCUGAUGCAGCGACGCCGCGUGAGGGAUGACGGCCUUCGGGUUGUAAACCUCUGUUAGCAUCGAAGAAGCGAAAGUGACGGUAGGUGCAGAGAAAGCGCCGGCUAACUACGUGCCAGCAGCCGCGGUAAUACGUAGGGCGCGAGCGUUGUCCGGAAUUAUUGGGCGUAAAGAGCUUGUAGGCGGUUGGUCGCGUCUGCUGUGAAAGGCCGGGGCUUAACUCCGGUUUUGCAGUGGGUACGGGCUAACUAGAGUGCAGUAGGGGAGACUGGAAUUCCUGGUGUAGCGGUGGAAUGCACAGAUAUCAGGAGGAACACCGAUGGCGAAGGCAGGUCUCUGGGCUGUAACUGACGCUGAGAAGCGAAAGCAUGGGGAGCGAACAGGAUUAGAUACCCUGGUAGUCCAUGCCGUAAACGUGGGCACUAGGUGUGGGGGACAUUCCACGUUUUCGCGCCGUAGCUACGCAUUAAGUGCCCGGCUUGGGGAGUACGGCGGCAAGGCUAAAACUCAAAGGAAUGACGGGGGCCGGCACAAGCGGCGGAGCAUGCGGAUUAAUUCGAUGCAACGCGAAGAACCUUACCAAGGCUUGACAUGCAUUAGAUCGCGUCAGAGAUGGCGUUUCCCUUCGGGGCUGGUGUACAGGUGGUGCAUGGUUGUCGUCAGCUCGUGUCGUGAGAUGUUGGGUUAAGUCCCGCAACGAGCGCAACCCUCGUUCUAUGUUGCCAGCGGUUCGGCCGGGGACUCAUAGGAGACUGCCGGGGUCAACUCGGAGGAAGGUGGGGAUGACGUCAAAUCAUCAUGCCCCUUAUGUCUUGGGCUUCACGCAUGCUACAAUGGCCGGUACAGAGGGUUGCGAUACUGUGAGGUGGAGCUAAUCCCUUAAAGCCGGUCUCAGUUCGGAUUGGGGUCUGCAACUCGACCCCAUGAAGUCGGAGUCGCUAGUAAUCGCAGGUCAGCAACGCUGCGGUAAAUACGUUCCCGGGCCUUGUCGCACCGCCCGUCA
rnacentral:rRNA from 1 species